rnacentral:lncRNA from 1 species
CUCCUGCCUCAGCCUCCCAAAUAGCUGGGAUUACAGGUGUGCGAUACCACGACUGGCUAAUUUUUGUAUUUUUAGUAGAGACAGGGUUUCACUAUGUUGGCCAGGAUGGUCUCCAUCUCCUGACCUCGUGAUCCACCCGCCUCAGCCUCCCAAAGUACUGGGAUUACAGGCAUGAGCCACUGCGCCCACUGGCCUCGUUGUUUUAAAGACAACUAUGAGUUAAUUCCUUAGAACAGUAGGAUUCUGAAAUUUUAAGCCUAGUUAGAAAUCUACCACGUGACUGUAUCAAUGCCAUCUUAAGGAGUCAGGGAUGUGUAUGCAGAAUGGAAAUCUAACUUACUGAUUAGCCAGAGUCACCAUGACAAAGCAGUUAUGAUCAUGGGAUUUGGCUGUACAUACUUAGUAUAGAUAAUGGGGAUCUUAGGACUGAAUUGGCACCAUCCCUUGUAGUGAUCUGCAACUUUUAUUUUCAAACAGUUCCUACUGGCUAAAUGACAACUUCAGAGAAUGAACACAUCUCAUCCACAGAGUCAAGAACAGAGCAAGAGCUCAGUAGGUGUCACCUAGAAGGAUUAUAAUACAUUGCUGUACACUACUGGGAAAUCAAUGUAGUUUAACACUGUUCUGCACCCUGCCAAAGGCACCAAGUAAGUACAUCACAAUAACAAAAAUCCAUAAAGAGAGCCCAGGAGCUUAUCCAAGUCAGUAUGGACAUAAGAUCUUUCUAAGCUUCAAUAAAUAACGUCAACAAUAACCCUGGAUCAUAUGACUAAAGAGAUAGAAUCUUCACUGACUUUUGACCUUUCUUUCCCCUCAUUUUUAAAGCAUCCCUUCAACCUUCUUGCAGAUAGGUUAAGUACAGUUAUCACCAGAUCAGAGUUUGUAACAGGUCCAUAAAAGGAAGGUACAGCCUUAUUGUACUCUUAGAAUCAUAACUGAACCCCUAUUCUCUAAUUCCAUCUUUGGAAAUUGGAUGGAGAGAUUUUGUCACUGGCAAGGAUCCUGUCCCAAUUACUCUGUAUUGCACACAGGACAGCCUCAAACUGGACAGAGAAACGAGAAUUAGUGACAGUGGAAUGAGGAAAGCUAGCAUGUCUCAUCAGCACCUCAGUGGUGGAUUACCAACCCAUGCCUCAGUUGCCUUCUCUAAAAUAAUGAGCUCUACCUCUCAGAGAUAGAACCAAGUAAGAAGGAAAAACGUGAUCGUGCUUAAAAAAGGUAAAUGCCCAUAAAAUGUAAGGUAACUGGCUGGCAAACAAGUUUUCACCGGGUUUCUUUUGGAGGUCCAUAGCAUUUUACCUUUCCCUCUAUUAUGCUUAGAACACUGCGCCAUCAAAACUUCUUCGGAAAGGUCUUAACCUCGCUUAUAUUUCAAGAGUACCUUUUUUAUUUUAUUUUUUAAUUUGUUUUUUUUUUUGAGACAAGGUCUCAUUUUGUUGCCCAGGCUGGAGUGCAGUGGCACCACUGUAGCUCAUUGUCACCUCUAUCUCCUGGGCUCAAGCUAUCUUCCUGUUUCAGCCUGUGGGGUAGCUGGAACUACCACAGGCCACUAUGCCCGGCUCUUUUUUUUAAUUUUUAUUUUUUAAAUAAAGAUGGGGUCUCACCAUGUUGGCCAGGCUGGUCUUAAACUUCUGGGCUCAAGCGAUCCUCCCAAAGUGUUAGGAUUACAGGCAUGAGCCACUGUGCUUGGCCCAUUCCAAGUGUACCUUUAAAUCCUCUGAAAAUGUAUGCAAUAUUACAUGUGAUGUGUAUUUCCCUGGGAACAGCAUCUGUAGACUCGUGAAGUCUGUUCUUGUGGACAGAUGCAUGCCUGUUCUGUUUUAUGAUUGUUCACCAGCCCUGUCCCCAAAUACACACUUUUAUACACGUCUCCUCCCUAAAAUAUCUAAGAAUUACUAGUUUAAACCCUGGGUUCCCUGCAAAGUGGAACUGGUUUUAUUUUUUGGACAGCAAUCUUGCUCAGUGAUUAAGACCUGGCGCUCCAGUGCGUCACAACUAGGUUCCCAUGCUGUGUCUCUUUCCAGUGAAAUCACUUUGAGCUAUUUCACUUCUCAGUACCUCGUUUCCCAGUCUAUGAAAUGGGCAUAGGGUUGUUACAAUCAGGUAACACACAGGCUGAGUUGAGUAGUGCCUGACACAUGAGGCUCAAUGAUAACUAUUAUUACUAUUACUUGUCUGGACAUUUGCUUCAAAGUAAACAGCGUACAAAUGUCAUUAAUGACUCAAACAUAACUAGCUUAGAGUAUCUUUUCCUGAAAAGACAGGAGAAUGGCCAGGCCAGCAAACUUUUUGCCUCUAGUUUCUUCUGAUGAAAAAGGGGCCAGGCGCUCACACCUGUAAUCCCAGCACUUUGAGGGGGCCAAGGCAGGAGGAUAGCUUGAGACCAGGAGUUCGACAGUAAGACCCCGUGUCUACAAAAAAUACAAAAAUUAGCCGGGCGUAGUGAAGAGCCCCUGUAUUCCCACCUGCUCUGGAAGCUGAGGUGGGAGGAUAGCUGGAGUCCCGGAGUUCGAAGCUGCAGUGAGCUGUGAUCGCGCUACUGCACUCCAGCCUGGGCGACAGAGAGACCCUCUCUUUAAAAAAAAAAAAAAAAAGCAAGGAGGGGAGGGCUACUUAACAGGUUGUUGUAAGGACCCAACGAGACAACCAAGCAAAUUGUUUAGGGCAGUGCCUAACCCAAUAGGGGUUGUGGGAAUUGUAGUCAUCAGCCCUGAGUGCCAAGCCUGGUCCAAGUCCUCCAGCCCCCGGCAGGGUCCAAGAAGAUGAGCCAGGGGCCCAAGAUGCAGGCCUGUAGGCCUCUUAGAUGCCUGAAGAUUACGCAACUCCUCCUUUAGCUCCAAACUGGCUUAAAACUCGCCAGUGGGCAACCUCUUCCCCAUAAGAGCUCCCCGCGCACGGGCCAAGACAGCAGCCAGACGCUCCCCGCAGGCCCUCACACCGAAGAAUGACGCCUGUAAAAGCCAACCCAUGUGUUCCGCGCGCUCUCCUCCCAUCCCAUCCUUUCCACAAGAUGAAGGCCCGACGCUUCCCAUGUGGAGGCCUCCCUGCUCGCACUCACCAGCCUUCAACUCUGCCACAGUCGCCAUUUUUCAACGGCCGCCAGGGCCGCACCGCGGCCCUGCGCACGCGCAGCUCCGCCCCACUCACCCUGCGGCGUGGUCUGUAGCCAAUAGGCGCACAGCUCUCGCCCCGCCCACUUCCGCCCCUCUCAGUUUAUGAGCUCUGCGGUUGAGUGGGUAGUGAAUGUCGACCAGAGACUCCACCAAUCAGCGAGCGCUCUCGGAAGGCCCACCUCAAGUACCAACUGCUAGUAGUUACCACCUAUUAACCCUGCGGUUCUCAAACUUGAGCAUGAAUCCUCAUCACCUCCAAGACUUGUUUAAACGGAUUGUUUGCUAGUCCUCCCCAUAGAGUUUCUGAUUCUGUAAAUCUGGGGUGAGGCCCUAGGAUUUGCAUUUCUAUCGAGUUCCCAGGUGGUACUGGUACUGCUGGUCGGUCUGGAGAUCACACCUCGAGAACCACUGUAUUAAGCACUUACUGUGACGCCUUAGCGCAUUAUUUCCUUAUGAUCACGCCGUUUUUACAAUGAAGGAAACAGAGUCCUCCAUCGCUGAAGAGACUUAACCAAGGUCACCAGCCUGUCCUCUUCCACUCGCACUUACACAGUGCAUGUAAGGAGUCCAGGAGCUUUUUAUGGAACUAACUAAUGAAGGAAUAAGCUCCAACAUCCCAUGGAAGUAAA